UAAUAGCGUAUAUUAAAGUUGUUGCAGUUAAAAAGCUCGUAGUUGAACUUCAGACCUGGCCGGGCGGUCUGCCUAACGGUAUGUACUGUCUGGCUGGGUCUUACCUCUUGGUGAGCCGGCAUGCCCUUCACUGGGUGUGUCGGGGAACCAGGACUUUUACCUUGAGAAAAUUAGAGUGUUCAAAGCAGGCCUAUGCCCGAAUACAUUAGCAUGGAAUAAUAAAAUAGGACGUGCGGUUCUAUUUUGUUGGUUUCUAGAGUCGCCGUAAUGAUUAAUAGGGAUAGUUGGGGGCAUUAGUAUUCAGUUGCUAGAGGUGAAAUUCUUGGAUUUACUGAAGACUAACUACUGCGAAAGCAUUUGCCAAGGAUGUUUUCAUUAA
rnacentral:rRNA from 1 species